AUUGAACGCUGGCGGCAUGCCUUACACAUGCAAGUCGAACGGCAGCACGGGUGCUUGCACCUGGUGGCGAGUGGCGAACGGGUGAGUAAUACAUCGGAACAUGUCCUGUAGUGGGGGAUAGCCCGGCGAAAGCCGGAUUAAUACCGCAUACGAACUACGGAUGAAAGCGGGGGACCUUCGGGCCUCGCGCUAUAGGGUUGGCCGAUGGCUGAUUAGCUAGUUGGUGGGGUAAAGGCCUACCAAGGCGACGAUCAGUAGCUGGUCUGAGAGGACGACCAGCCACACUGGGACUGGGCCACGGCCCAGACUCCUACGGGAGGCAGCAGUGGGGAAUUUUGGACAAUGGGCGAAAGCCUGAUCCAGCAAUGCCGCGUGUGUGAAGAAGGCCUUCGGGUUGUAAAGCACUUUUGUCCGGAAAGAAAUCCUUGGCCCUAAUACGGUCGGGGGAUGACGGUACCGGAAGAAUAAGCACCGGCUAACUACGUG
rnacentral:rRNA from 1 species